rnacentral:rRNA from 1 species
GAUGAACGCUAGCGGCAGGCUUAACACAUGCAAGUCGAGGGGUAUAGUUCUUCGGAAUUAGAGACCGGCGCACGGGUGCGUAACGCGUAUGCAAUCUACCUUUCACAGAGGGAUAGCCCCAGAGAAAUUUGGAUUAAUACCUCAUAGUAUAGCAGUUUCGCAUGAAACCACUAUUAAAGUCACAACGGUGAAAGAUGAGCAUGCGUCCCAUUAGCUAGUUGGUAAGGUAACGGCUUACCAAGGCAACGAUGGGUAGGGGUCCUGAGAGGGAGAUCCCCCACACUGGUACUGAGACACGGACCAGACUCCUACGGGAGGCAGCAGUGAGGAAUAUUGGACAAUGGGCGCAAGCCUGAUCCAGCCAUGCCGCGUGCAGGAUGACGGUCCUAUGGAUUGUAAACUGCUUUUGUACAGGAAGAAACACUCCCUCGUGAGGGAGCUUGACGGUACUGUAAGAAUAAGGAUCGGCUAACUCCGUGCCAGC